rnacentral:sRNA from 1 species
AUAGAAGAGCAGGGUUUAAGAAACAAUCUACCAAAGCCAAUAAGCAGACAAGCCAAUCUCUUGGUCGAGUCUACAAAUCUCUAGAAUUCGUAGAUCAUACAUCCAUUUGAACGUCUUUUGGACGCUGGACGUCUAAGAUCGAAUCUCUACAUUAGCCAACCAAAACCGCAUAGGGGCCAAGCGAAUCCAAAAGGGUACUAACUUAAACACUAACCACCUAACUAACCUAGAGAUUACCCUAAUCUAAUCCAUCCUCAAGAACCCUAAUCACUACUCAAGCAACAUUCUCAAGAACACAAACCCUGAAAUUACUGAAAUCAUAUCAAAAUGUAGAUCUAAACAAGCUAAACAACUUUACUAUAA